UACGGAGGGUGCAAGCGUUAUCCGGAUUCACUGGGCGUAAAGGGUGCGCAGGCGGCCAAGUGUGCGAGGCGUGAAAGCCCGGAGCUUAACUCCGGAAUUGCACCUCAAACUACAUGGCUAGAGCAUUGGAGAGGGUAGCGGAAUUCACGGUGUAGCAGUGAAAUGCGUAGAUAUCGUGAGGAACACCAGAGGCGAAGGCGGCUACCUGGACAAUUGCUGACGCUCAGGCACGAAAGCGUGGGGAGCAAAAGGG
rnacentral:rRNA from 1 species